CUCCUUUGGGAAUAAGACAGUACUCUGAGGAGUUGCCUAUGAGAAACACAAAGAAGGUGUGAAACUUUUGUGAUAGGAGACAACAGUAUGGAACCCCUGCAAUAACAUGACAAUGUCUUUCUGUGCUGAAUCUUCUGGAACCCCUAACUAUCGGCUUAACUGAGAAGAGACCAGUCUGUGCUGUUACUGCAGUGGCUACAGAGAGAUCACUCGCUGUGGUCAGCCACAGGUUUCCACAGCCUGGAACUGGGCUGUCAUGGCACACAUGUCCAACUUCAGCUCUUCCAGCCACAUCAGUCCCGUGAGUCAGCUGUCAAACACACCUGAGAUGAAGGAUUAAGAUGCAUUAUUCCACACUUUACCAGUGGGUAAAUUGGGGUGGUGCGUGGAACGGCACAUGGUCCUGGAGUUCAGAUCCUAAGUCACAGCUGUCUCCUCCAGCCUCUAGAACAAAUUGCUAAAAGCAGAGUAGGAAAUGCUGUGAGGAAUUUGCUUCCUUCAAAAUAUUCACCUCAUCUGAGGAAUCUGUCUGAUGAUUGAUGUGUCUGUAUGUAAUCCCAGGAAUGCCAAAAGGAUUACCCUAAGUUAUCAGGUGUCAAUUUUCUGUUGCUCCAGAACAUGUCCAUUUUUGUCUGCAGAUAGAUGUGUGCAAGUUGGUGGUGUACUCUAUUCUGACAAAUUUAAUCAUGAUUCCUAUACUAUUUCUGGCAUUCAAGCUUCAUUACUAGAAUUUAAUGUAACUGAAAGAGUUUCAGCUGAUUUCUUCUGUAGCAGUCUUUUGUCUGAGCCACACAAGCUGUUGAGAAAGAUGUCCUCUGUUGUGUUUUUACUCAUUAGUCUUUGCUGACUGGGGGGGGAGGGGGGUCUCAUGAAAGAGUCACUUCCCUCCAAAAUUGUAGCGCUGCCUGCUUAGUUACACAGCCUGGCUGCUAAGCACAAGGAGGUAGCAGCGAAGUGUCACAUUUGAAAGACUACAAGAAAGAAGUGGAAUGGUGAUAGACUGAACUAAUGCAUUCUUAAUGAGAAGAAACUCUUCUGUUGCUUUGAAGGGAUGCAGGGAAAGAAAUAGCAUGCUCAGAAGCAGCAAAAGUCUGAAAGCUGUUUUUAAUGCUGUUGCAGAAAGAAGUCACUGUGGCAGAAUUCUUAUAAAAUUCUACUUGUAAAAUGCAAAUACUGUGUUAGCAUGAUCGUUUUCUUAAGAUGUACAUUCAGAGGUGGGAGAUCUGGCUGCUCUGAUCCCUAUGCAGUUAAAAGUUUUGGGAGUGGAUAAAUUUUGGGCACAUAGCACAAGCCUUGCAAUCAAUAUAUAGUCUACUGACAACUGAAUGUUUCAAACAUCUUGUAAUAAAUUUUGGAUAAUAAAAAUGCAAGAAGCCACCAUUUAAAUGUAGCAUUCUUUUGAGGUAACUCAAAAGAGUGUUACCUAUGGCUUCCGUGCUUGUGUGCACUCAAUAGCACAAGAUUUCUUAAAGACUGUUCCCAGACAUUUUGAGAAAGUGGCCUUGGCCACACUCUGCACUAGAGGAGAAAUAAUGGAGUUCUGGAGGAGAAGUGAAUCCUGGUUCCACAUCCAACAAUAGUUUUCACACACAUGUGAGGCAUAGUCAAGGAAUGUCAGUCUUUUAGGAACAUCAGUGUGUAUCAUCCAAUGGUCUGUCUCCAGCUCUAACCAAAUUCCAGUGCUUGAUCAAAAAGAAAUGAACAAUGAGACAAGAAAUCAGUUGUUACUUUGUACUCAGAGUGGAGGAAAAAAUCCUCUUCAGCCUCCAUAGUGACCACUGGGAUCCCAAAAGUGUGCGUUUAAUGCAGUGCAGACCAAGUGCCAGACAGAGACAUUUUUCAAACCUCAUUGAUGUUACAGCUCAGUAUGUGUUCAAGAACUCAAUAAACAAUCUUAACUUUC